AGACAGCAGUAGCCGCGGUAAUGCGUAGGUGGCAAGCGUUGUCCGGAAUUAUUGGGCGUAAAGCGCGCGCAGGCGGAUAGGUCAGUCUGUCUUAAAAGUUCGGGGCUUAACCCCGUGAAGGGAUGGAAACUGCCAAUCUAGAGUAUCGGAGAGGAAAGUGGAAUUCCUAGUGUAGCGGUGAAAUGCGUAGAUAUUAGGAAGAACACCAGUGGCGAAGGCGACUUUCUGGACGAAAACUGACGCUGAGGCGCGAAAGCCAGGGGAGCGAACGGGAUUAGAUACCCGAGUAGUCCCUGUCUCUUAUAAA
rnacentral:rRNA from 1 species